rnacentral:rRNA from 1 species
AGCCUACGGGGGGCAGCAGUAGGGAAUUUUUCACAAUGGGCGAAAGCCUGAUGGAGCAAUGCCGCGUGAAUGAUGAAGGUCUUAUAGAUUGUAAAAUUCUUUUAUUUGGGAAGCAAAACUCAAGUAGGAAAUGACUUUAGUCUGACUGUACCAUUUGAAUAAGUAUCGGCUAACUAUGUGCCAGCAGCCGCGGUAAUACACCGCAUGCAAGCGUUAUCCGGAUUUACUGGGCGUAAAAACACGGC